CACACAGCAAGCUUUCGCACCUCACUGGGGGCCCCACAAAUCACUAGGGUCCCCUGGAGCCCGCACCCACAAAAUGCUGGGGUCCCCUGGAACCAGCACCCACAAAUCACUGGGGUCCCCUGGAGUCAGCACCCACAAAUCACUGGGGUCCCCCAGAGCCAGCACCCACUAAUCGCUUAGGCCCCACAGUCAAGGCAAACACCCAGCUAGUGAAAUUUAAUCAGCGCACACAGCUUGUCCCACACAUCACCCCCAUCCUUCCCUCCUGCAAGAAGUAAUCACAUCUCGCCGUGUUAAUUAGACAUUAACGAAGUGUGAAGAUACAUUCCAAUAAUGAGCUGGAAAGACCUGG